UAGAACGCUUCUGCCGUUCCUUUGCUUGGUUGUGACCCCACCAGCUGCAGAGCUCCACCUGCACGGACGAGACUCGCACCGAGAUGUUAAGUGCGGAGCUCAGAAACCUCUUGCUGCUUUAAACAGCACCACCCAGUCUCGAGGCUGUACCUCCAUCUCCGGAACGAUUCUCUUUCCCGUGUUUUUCAGGUGGCUAUGACAGAAUGCUGCAGUCGCAGAUGAAUUCAGAGAGUUCGGACAGCAAAACCUGCCAAAGCAUCCAAAAAAGGAUUGCAAUGGAGGAGUUCAACUUGAAGACUCAGUGCAGUAGAAUGGCAAAUCCUUUGCUUUAAUACUCAUGCUCUUGGUGUGGGGAGCAUUUGUUGUUCAGUCAACAUGUGCAACAUGUACAACUCCCAUUACCCCUGAGGACAGGUCCUGGUAGGGAAGGAUGAUGGGAGUUGUAGUCCAACAACAGCUGGGGACCCAAGUUUGGGAAACCCUGGACUAGAAGAUAGCCAGUGCUCCACUCUCUCUCCACUCCUCCCCAAGAGAAACACAUUCAAAUAAAUUAAAAGUUUAAAACUAGA